CGGGCAGGUGGCCUUUUAAGUCCUUUGUGAAAUCCCGGGGCUCAACUCCGGAUGUGCAUAGGAUACUGGAAGGCUCGAGACAGGUAGAGGCGAGCGGAAUUCCUGGUGUAGCGGUGGAAUGCGUAGAUAUCAGGAAGAACACCGGUGGCGAAGGCGGCUCGCUGGGCCUGUUCUGACACUCAUCCGCGAAAGCGUGGGGAGCAAACA
rnacentral:rRNA from 1 species